UAUGCAGUCACUUCAUUUACUCAGUGAAUGACGGACAUGUUGUUUACAUGGCUGUUGGUGUGUUGGGGUGCUGUCUUGUGUCAGGGUAUAGAAACUUCUCGGAUACAAAUUAUCAAUGAACGAGACAACUGGUGGGAGGCCCAAAGCCGAUGUGAAGUCAACAGAGGCAAGUUGUACACACCAGGCACAGAUGACAUCCCAGCAGAGCUUGUGGAGAAUCUACAGUCCGACACCUACUACUGGAUAGGUGCCAUGAGCUACAGGGCCUGGAAAUGGACAGUAGAUGACAGUCCCCUGUUCACCUAUGCUGGCUUCCUUCCUCUUGGGAGUGUGACAGUAGAACCAAAGGGAACAUAUCUUGAUAACUCGGUAUGGAAGUGCCAUCUUCACUGCAGUCCAGCAUAUUCAGUAGGCAUGAAGGUGAACCACGUGCUACUGUUUGAAAGAAGGAUAUAACACUACGAAGUCGAUGCUAUCCGAGAGCACGUGUCCCGGAAACUUGGAGGAAAGGUGUGGCAACAUCCAGGGGAUGUCAGUAUACAAGCUAGAAAACAUGAUAUUUAAUCAAGAGGAAGACACGUACUGUGCUUAUGUGGAUGACACGGACCUUUCCAUCCAUACCAGCACUUAUGACUAUUGCAAAUUCAUAAUUGAUUGUUACGCCUGCUUUACUUU